AUGGAGCAGCUUUGGAAACUAGUUAUUGCUGCUACAAGAAAUAUUACUACCAAAAGGAACAUCAGAACUGUUGUUGAUGUUUGGGGAUUGUAUCUGUUUGUUAGUAAGAAGGACCAGUUGGCUUAACUUUGUAAUAAAGUUGAUAUAG
rnacentral:lncRNA from 1 species